CGAAACCGGGCGACCUACCCAUGAGCAGGAUGAAGCGAAAGUAAAAUUUCGUGGAGGUCCGAACCCACGAGCGUUGAAAAGCUCGGGGAUGACUUGUGGGUAGCGGUGAAAUUCCAAUCGAGCCCGGAGAUAGCUGGUUCUCCCCGAAAUAGCUUUAGGGCUAGCCUCAAGGUGAGAGAUACGGAGGUAGAGCACUGAAUGUCCUAGGGGGUAUUGCACCUACCGAAGACUAUCAAACUCCGAAUGCCGUCAUCUUAUACUUGGGAGUCAGACUGUGGGUGAUAAGAUUCAUAGUCGAAAGGGCAACAGCCCAGAUCGUCAGCUAAGGUCCCUAAAUGUAAGUUAAGUGGUAAAGGAUGUGGGAUUGCACAGACAACCAGGAUGUUGGCUUAGAAGCAGCCACUCAUUCAAAGAGUGCGUAAUAGCUCACUGGUCGAGUGAUCCUGCGCCGAAGAUUUCCGGGGCUAAAACUU
rnacentral:rRNA from 1 species